GACGAACGCUGGCGGCGUGCCUAAUACAUGCAAGUAGAACACUGUAGGCGGAGCUUGCUUCCCUGGAUGAGUUGCGAACGGGUGAGUAACGCGUAGGUAACCUGCCUGGUCGUGGGGGAUAACUAUUAGAAACGAUAGCUAAUACCGCAUAAGAGUACAUGUUGCAUGACAUUUGCUUACAAGGUGCACUUGCAUCACUACCACAUGGACCUGCGUUGUAUUAGCUAGUUGGUGGGGUAACGGCUCACCAAGGCGAAGAUACAUAGCCGAACUGAGAGGGUGAUCGGCCAAACUGGGACUGAGAAACCGCCCAGACUCCUACGGGAGGCAGCAGUAGGGAAUCUUCGGCAAUGGACGGAAGGCUGACCGGGGAACGGCGGGUGAGUGAAGAAGGGUUUCGGAGCGGAAAAGUCUGUUGUAAGGGGAGAACGAGGGUGAGAGUGGAAAGUUCACACUGUGACGGUAUCUGACCAGAAAGGGACGGCUAACUACGUG
rnacentral:rRNA from 1 species